rnacentral:piRNA from 1 species
UCGAAUAACCAUAUGCUCAGU